rnacentral:lncRNA from 1 species
CCGUAACUACCUAUGAGGCAGGGGAGGCAACUGCCUCCCCUGAAUUUUCUAUACCAAUUUUUUUUUUUUGAAGUAAUAAAAUGAAAUAUUGACAAUAUGUACAUGAAGAAAUUGAAUUAAUAUCAUAAACAACACAAGUUUACAGUUUUAACAGUGUUAUCAUGAUAUAUGUGAUAUAUCUGUCAUUUUCCGGUUUUUGAUCGAAAGUGAACCGUUUCAGUAUUUUUCUUUUUAUUUUUUUUUCGUGUGGCCGUCCAUCUGUUAUUCAGUAUUCGUACGAGAACACAUAUGAAACUUUGCUUUCGACAAUUUUGAAUAAAACUCAACUAUUCACAUUUAUUUAGGGGCUCAAUUAAGCAGAGGAAGUUCCCUUUUUAUUGUGAAUCUUUUAUGAUAUCGGAAAUUCGUUACCGGCUGAAUCAGUUGUUGGGUCAUUUUUUUAACGUCUCCCGAUCGUACGAGAACAUUAUGGUAAAUGCCUUAGUAGUAAAACUAGUAGGGACUUUCUAUACUAAGUAUAUAUACUAGUAUAUAUAGAAAGUCCCUGGUUGUAGUUAUAUACAUGUCUGUUCA